rnacentral:lncRNA from 1 species
UCCAAAAGAAGUUCAUUUCUUUCAUUACAUUAAAAAGAGUUACAAGUUACAAUCAAAAUCCCAUUACUAGGGAAGUUACAAAACUCUUGAGUACGGGGAUAAGAGGAUGGCUACAGGCCAGGAAUAAAUGCUCUUUUCAUGCAGAAGAAGCAAACCCACCGAAGAAAUGCUCUCCUCAUAAAAAUGAAGCAAAACCACUUGGCGAAGUUAACUCCAGUGCCACCAAAGAGGAUGGUUACGGGCCAAAAGAGGAAGCCAACCGUUUUCGAGUUAGCUUCAAGUCAUCUGACAAGGCAUGGCUAAUUUUCAAAGAGCCGGCCCAUGCUCGAACAACAUGGACUUCACGAUUGUGCUGGGGGACUUGGUUUCUAGCAAAUCACGAUGGCCUUCUCGAUUUCCAUCACUCUUGACCCACGUGAGACAUUGCCAUCCAUAGUCAUCGCCGCACACGACUCAACACCAUGCAUAACCAUCGUCAUUCGCAACACAGUGUCGUGUUCUACCAUCACCAUGGGUAGGACAAAACCACGUGGUACCAUCACCGUGAGCAGCAUGCUCAUGAAAGUGGCUAUCGUCGAGCAUGGCUUAGGGACACGUGAAGGCGGUGCUGCAUGGGACUUAAUGAUGCACAUGCCCAUUUUGUACCUCGGUUCCCAUCGUUCUGAAUUCUCAAGGGGCAUUAACCCUUGUGUUUCUUUGGUUUCCCAAGCUAUCCCCCUAUGGUGACGGUCAGCCUUCUCAUGACUCUUCGCCCCCCUCGUAAUCCUUCGGGAUUCACCGGAAAUACUCCUCCCAUGGCCGAAAAAACCCGUCUGACCUCGUUCUUUCCCCUACCAACAUUGCCUCUCCCUGACAAAAGUACUUUGUCGCCAUCGAAACAAACCCUGCUCCGCCUUCCACUCACUGGAAAUCCUUGAAGCUUCCCCUGUGACCCUGCGGUCUUGCCUUAUCCCUGAUUUCCCACUUCAGCAGUCCACCAAAACUCACCAGAAUUCCAUUAAGUUUUCGAUGAGCUCAUUGUAGUCCCUCCUUCUUCUCCUCCAAUAACCAGAGGACUGACAAGAGCCCUCUAAACUCUCUACGACCCCCCCUUCAACAGCAGAACGACUGGAGAAGCGCUCGAACCCCGGCAGGGCACCUCUGCAAAUCCUGCUAAGGUCCCGAGAAACCCUGUUCUUUACUCGGGAAGCCUCAGCACUUCUCGAAGAGGUUCAAAAUCAAAACACAAAGCUUUACGACCUCCUGAAUCUCGUUAGAAAAGCUCCUAACUGCCUGUCUCUGCAAAUUUUGGCAGGGAAGUUCUCGUCGAAAAACCUUCGACAAAAGCUUUGACCCUCUCUCUCUCUAAAAACUCUUCAACUAUUUUUCCCUUAAGUAAAAUAGUAAAAAUGGGUUUUUCCCCUUUUAUACCCAGUGUUUGAACACAUUUUUCAGCACCUUGGUCCCUGAAAGGAAGCAGGUCCAUAAAGCCUACAAAAUAGUGGAAAUUUUGACAGUCUUAGAAUUGCCUUAGAAUUGGUCAAGAUCUUUAUCAACACUUCAAAAGACUACCUUCCAAGUUUCAUCACGAUUAGACAUGUCUAAAGUAGUGAACACAAAGAAACAAUUUCAGUGAAAUCGGUCUCUAGCACCCUGAAAUGAACCUCGUAACUAGAGCCAUACUUUUGGUGUAUCAAAUAGCUAUGGGACCACUGCCAUUAUAUUCGACACGGUCGAAACCCCUAUGGCUCGAGUUUUGGCUUAAUUGGGCACUCCAUGACAAAGCUAUGGGUAAAAUAUCGAAAAGGGGUAGACCGCACACUAUUCCCAUGUGCCCACUCUGCACUUAAAAACCAUUAAAGGUGGCUGUUUUUUCAGUCACUGACAGUCACUUUCGGAGCCCAUAUCUCACUCGUUCCAAUUCGAAUCGUUCGCAAAUUUGGUGAGUGCGUUCGUCUCAUCAAGAUAAGCAUUUUGAUAUGUAGUACGCCAUGUGUUGACGCCCGAGCAGGGAGAAAAACUAGAUGGUAGUUGCUGAUCCGUGAACGAAGUUGCAGAAAAUGUAGCAGCAACAUGCCUCAUUCGAGCAGCCAGAUCACAACUCUCGCAUAUCCGAUCGGCACAAAACCAAUUGCAUUAUGUGUGUGAGGUCGGAGGCUAUCUCUGGUCCAAACCUCACAUACGAUGAACGGUUGGAUUUCACAAACGAAAGCAUCAAAUCUACUAUAAAUUCUGGCUGUCGAAUUUCAUGAUUCCGUUCAAAAAACUCAAGACGAUAAAAUCUUCAUCCGAACUCGAACUCAAGCUACGUUUGUAAUAAUGUGAUCCUGACGGAAUACUCAGUGUGAUUCAGCGAAGAAAUCACGAAGAAACAUCAAGGAAUGAGCACACAAUUGAUCGAAAAUUUUUACGAUUCAUCCAAAAUUCAUGUCUCAUGAUCAUGGUCCAAAAACAUGAUUUAUGGCUCGAAAUUGGUAUCAAAACAAUCGUCAUGUCGAGCCCUACAAGAAAAUAAUAAUAUUUGGAUCAAACGGGCAUUAGAACAACCCUGAGUCAGUCAUGGAAGAUCAUGCUAGUUUAUGGGCAGUAGCAUGGACUAUUCUAGAAUUCCACACAUUAUUAGGCAGUGGCAAAACAGUCCUUUUGCACCCAUUUUUUUAAUUUCUUUGAAUUCAAUUAAAUUGUAAUUUUCUUCAAUUCUAAGUAGUUUUUGGGCACCCAGGUUUUUAGCCCAAUUUUAUAUAAACAAGCAAUGCAUCAUUGUACAAAGACCAGAUACAUUUUUCUUGGUUCAAUCAAUAAAGUUCUGAAUUUUGCUUAAGCUUGUGGGUACAUCUUAGAGAGAGAGAGGGGAGAGAAGAAAAGAGCUGGUACCCUUCGAGAAGGUAACUUUCUCUUUCCUCCUGUCUUUCUCUCUUCUCCCCUAGUUCUCUCUCCUCCUCUCUUUCUCUCUCCUUCCCUCUUUCUCUCUCAUCCCCUCUUUCUCUCUCCUCCCCUCUUUCUCUCAUCACUAUCUCUCUCUUCUUCUCUUCUUUGUCUCUUUCUCUUCUUCUCAUCUCUAUCUCUCUCUCAUCUUCUCGUCUCUAUCUCUUUCUCCCUCAUUUUCUCAUCUCUAUCUAUCUCUUUCUCUCUCUUCUUCUCAUCUCUAUCUCUUUCUCUCUCUUCUUCUCAUCUCUAUCUCUUUCUCUCUCUUCUUCUCAUCUUUAUCUUUUUUUCUCUCUUAUUCUCAUCGAUUUCUCUCUCUCUUCUUCUCAUCUCUAUCUCUUUCUCACUCUUCUUCUCAUCUCUAUCUUACUCUUUUCUUCGUCUAAUACAGUCGAUGAAGCUUAGCACUGACCAGAUUUCUCUCUCUUCCUUUUAACACAGUCGGUAAUGCCUAGUGCCAACUGUUUCUUCCUUCCCCAUCUCUCUAUUAUUCUCUUGUCUCUCAUAGUUUUCUCUUCCUUUCUUCUCCCUCCUUCUUUCGAUUUCCUUCUUUUCUUGUUUCAUUUAUUAUUCUUGCUUGAUGACCUUCAUUCUGUUAUUCUUUCAUUCGAUUAAGAGGGAUCGAGGUUAGCCUCUCAUGGUAGUCCUAUCAUCUAGCCGUAAUGUUAUUGUGUCAGGAUUACUUAGCCCACUUUAUUGACACGACAGACAAACCAGCGUGC